rnacentral:rRNA from 1 species
AGUUCGGACGGGAUAACCGCUGAAAGCAUCUAAGCGGGAAGCCUCCCUCAAGAUGAGUUUUCCCAUGAAGCCCGUUGAAGACUACGACGUUGAUAGGCAAGGUGUGGAAGCGCAGUAAUGCGUGAAGCUAACUUGUACUAAUUGGCUGAUUGUCUUGACCAUAUAA